UCUCUCCUAUUUUCAUCAUACCGAGUGCCCUGGGUGAUCUAAGAGACCAGGAUGCUGGCCUCCAAAGGGCUUUAUUUAUAGCUUCUAACAGCACCCUGUCACACUGAAGCAAUUUUUGAGAACUUAUGGAAGAUAGCAAAUAGACUGGACCUUCUGUUGGAGGGGGGAUGACCCCAGUUUUUCCUGGGAAUGACUGGAAGGACUUUGGCCUAACGAAGUUCUAUUAAACCGAUGGUGAUGUUUGGUGACCAUGAAUUGUAUCACUCUCCUGAAGCUGACACAGGAAGAUACAGACCGAAUGCUGCUUGAACGUGACCAUAACCAGGACCAUUCGCUGCCAUGCUUUGUGCUGCAAUGAUUCCAGACCACUUUCUACUGGCUUGGCAUAGUAAAGUGUCCUACCGUGGAGGACAAAAUAAGGCAGCCCUCCCCAGAAACCUUCUGCAAAAGCUUUCAGAGUACCUCCAGGCAAGCUUCAUGGAGAUGUCCCUGGAAAAUUCCUGCUCCAUUCCC